UACGGGGGGAGCAAGCGUUGUUCGGAUUUACUGGGCGUAAAGGGCGCGUAGGCGGUCAGCACAAGUCAGUUGUGAAAUCUCCGGGCUUAACUCGGAAAGGUCAACUGAUACUGUGCGACUAGAGUGCAGAAGGGGCAACUGGAAUUCUCGGUGUAGCGGUGAAAUGCGUAGAUAUCGAGAGGAACACCUGCGGCGAAGGCGGGUUGCUGGGCUGACACGUGACGCUGGAUGCGCGAAAGCCAGGGGAGCGAAGCGGG
rnacentral:rRNA from 1 species